rnacentral:rRNA from 1 species
AACGAACGCUGGCGGCAGGCUUAACACAUGCAAGUCGAACGCCCCGCAAGGGGAGUGGCAGACGGGUGAGUAACGCGUGGGAAUCUACCCUGAUCUGCGGGAUAGCUCCGGGAAACUGGAAUUAAUACCGCAUAUGUCCUGAGGGACAAAGAUUGAUCGGUUCAGGAUGAGCCCGCGUCCGAUUAGCUAGUUGGUGGGGUAAAGGCCUACCAAGGCGACGAUCGGUAGCUGGUCUAAGAGGAUGAUCAGCCACAUUGGGACUGAGACACGGCCCAAACUCCUACGGGAGGCAGCAGUGGGGAAUAUUGGACAAUGGGCGCAAGCCUGAUCCAGCCAUGCCGCGUGAGUGAUGAAGGUCUUAGGACUGUAAAGCUCUUUCACCGGGGACGAUAAUGACGGUACCCGGAGAAGAAGCCCCGGCUAACUUCGUGCCAGCAGCCGCAGUAA